rnacentral:rRNA from 1 species
GUGGGGAAUAUUGGACAAUGGGCGAAAGCCUGAUCCGGCCAUGCCGCGUGUGUGAAGAAGGUCUUCGGAUUGUAAAGCACUUUAAGUUGGGAGGAAGGGUAGUAACCUAAUACGUUGCUACUUUGACGUUACCGACAGAAUAAGCACCGGCUAACUUCGUGCCAGCAGCCGCGGUAAUACGAAGGGUGCAAGCGUUAAUCGGAAUUACUGGGCGUAAAGCGCGCGUAGGUGGUUCAGUAAGUUGGAAGUGAAAUCCCCGGGCUCAACCUGGGAACUGCUUUCAAAACUGCUGAGCUAGAGUACGGUAGAGGGUGGUGGAAUUUCCUGUGUAGCGGUGAAAUGCGUAGAUAUAGGAAGGAACACCAGUGGCGAAGGCGACCACCUGGACUGAUACUGACACUGAGGUGCGAAAGCGUGGGGAGCAAACAGGAUUAGAAACCCCGGUAGUCC